rnacentral:misc_RNA from 1 species
AACGCACAUUGCGCCCUCUGGUAUUCCGGAGGGCAUGCCUGUUCGAGCGUCAUUUCAACCCUCAAGCACUGCUUGGUGUUGGGGCACUGCUUCUAACGAAGCAGGCCCUGAAAUCUAGUGGCGAGCUCGCCAGGACCCCGAGCGCAGUAGUUAAACCCUCGCUCUGGAAGGCCCUGGCGGUGCCCUGCCGUUAAACCCCCAACUUCUGAAAAUUUGACCUCGGAUCAGGUAGGAAUACCCGCUGAACUUAA